rnacentral:rRNA from 1 species
AAUAAUUUGAAAUAAUCAUUUUUAGAAAAGAAUAAAAAUCUAGUAAUUUUGUUAAAUUCGAAAUUCGCUAUGUUUUUUCCAACUUCAAAUGACAUUAACUUCUAUACCAGGAUGAGAUAGGUGAAUUUCAAAAUAUGGAUGUAAAGAUCUUGAAAUAACUUUUCCAAUGAAACCAAGACUGCACAAUUUUGAUUUUGUUUGAGUAAGUUAUGCCCUUUGGAAGUUAGUUGUUUGAAUAAGGAAAUGUCCAAUCCAAAAGUUAGAAUGGUAGUUUGGUCUUUUCCUUAUCGUUUUACUUUAAUUUGUUUUUCGUAAUUCCUUAGAAGUCUAAACUAAACAUAUUUAGUUUAUGCAUUAUAAAAAUAGACUUAUGGUUUCUGGAGAAAGCAUAAUUAGCUUACACUGUGACGCGAGUAGAAUGGGGCAUGUGAAAUCCCAUGUGAAUCAGCAAGGACCAUCUUGCAAGGCUAAAUACUCUUGGGUGACAGCUUGGGAAGCAUUACCAUAAGGGUAGGGUGGAAAGGACCCCCAUUGAAGAGUGAAAUAGAACAUGAAAUCCAUAGCUCCCAAGCAAUAGGAGGAGCCAGGGUUUUGACCUCUUGCCUAUUGAAGAAUGAGCCAGGGACACAUAGGCAAUGGCUUGGUUAAGGGAACCCACCAGAAAAAUAGAGAAAGCGAGUCUUCAUAGGGCAAUUCUAACUACUUAUGGACAUGAACCUGGGUGAUCUAUCCAAGACUAGGAUGAAGCUUGGUCGAAACUAAGCGAUGGUCCGAAUCGACUGAUAUUGAAGAAUCAAUAGUUUAGUUAUGGUUAUGGGUAAAAUGCCACUCGAACCUAAAUUUAGUUUGUUCUCCACGAAAUUCGUUGAGGCAUAGCAGUUUACUAUACAUCUAGGAGUAAAGCACUAUUUUGAUGUGGGUCGCGAUAGAGGUACAAAAUCGAGGCAAAAUUUGAAUAGUAGAUAUGACCUAAAAAUAAUAGGGGUCAAGGUCGGCUAGUGAGACGAUAAGGGAUAAGCUUCAUUAUCGAUAGGGAAACAACCCAUAUUACCAAAUAAGGACCCUAAAUUACCGCUAAUUGUAAAGGAGGUAGGGAUGCAGAGACAGCCAGGUGGUUUACCUAGAAGCAUCCACCCUUGAAAGAGUGAAAAUAUCUCACUGAUCGAGCGUUAUUGCACUGAAGAUGAAUGGGGAUAAGAGCUCUGCCAAAGCUGUGGGAUGUAAAAAUACAUUGGUAGGGGAUAUUUCCGCCUUAUAGAUAAGCCUCCACACGAGAGGUGGCGGAAGAAGUAGAAGGGACAAUGUCGGCUUCAGCAGCGCAAACAUUGCUGAAAAUCCAAUUCCUCAAAAAGCUAAGGGUACCUCCGCAUGGUUCAUCCACGCAGGGUGAAUCAGGUCCUAUGAUCAGGCCGAGAGUUGUAGUCCAUAGACAAUAGGUGAAUAUUCAUGUACUACCCCUUCUUAGUCCCGAGGGACGGAGGAGGCUAGGUUAGCCGAAAGAUGGUUAUCGGUUAAAGAACGUAAGGUUUCCCUACUUUUUAAGGGUAAGAAGAGUAGAUAAAAUUCCUUGAGCCAAUGUUUGAAUAUGAGGCGCUACAUCGCUGAAGUAACUCGUGCCAUACUCCUAGGAAAAGAUUGAAUGACGUUAAGCAAGAGGGUACUUGUACCUGAAACUGAUAUACGUGAGUAGUUAGAGAUACCUAGGGGUGUGAUAUAACUCUCUCUAAGGAACUCGGUAAAAUAGCUUUGUUACUUCGGGAGAAGGGGUUCCUCCUAGCAAAGGGAGUCGUAGUUUCUAGGCCCCGUUGACUGUUUACAAAAAACAAAGUCUCCGCAAAGUUGUAAGACCAUAUAUGGGGGUUGUCACCUUCUAUGUGACGGAAGGUCAAGGAAGGUUGUAACGUGAUAACAGGGAAGCCGACGACUAAAGUCGUGAAGAAUGGUGUCUGUAACUAUAACGAUUCUAUAGCAAAAUUCAUUAUUGGGUAAGUUUCAACCAAAAUGAAAGGUGUAACAAUCUAGGAACUAUUUUGGAGAGAUGCUCGGUGAAAUAGACAUCUCUGUGAAGGUGCGCAAUACUUGCACCUAGAUAGAAAGACCCUAUGAAGCUUCAUUGUUCACUGUGAUUGGCUUUGGGCCUUUCGUGCACAACUUAAGUGGAAGGCGAAGAAGGCCUCAUUCCGUGGGCCUGAGCAAUCAAUGAGAUACCACUUUGGAAUUGCUAGAAUGCUAACCUUGUGUAGAAAGUUAUUAUGGGGCGUAGGCCUCCCAAAAGGUAACAGAGGCAUGCAAAGUUUUCCUUGGGCCAGAUAGAGAUUGGCCCUUCAUUGCAAAAGUAUAAGUGAGCUUGACUGCAUGACCUACCCAUCGAGCAGGGAUGAAAGUUCGGCUUAGUUAUAUGAAGAUGGCGGGAGGAAUGGUCGUCGCUCAAUGGUUAAGAGUAACACCCUGAUCUUUCCCAAGAGCUCACAUCGAUGGUAAGGUUUGGCACCGCUUCGUCACCUAGGGCAGUAGUUUGUUCCAAGGUUUGAAUGCUCAUUAAAGAAGAACGUGAGAUGGGUUUACAACGUCGUGAGAAAGUUUUAUCCAUUUCUUGUGUGGGCGUUAGAGUAUUGUCUUGACCUUUCCCUCGUACGAGAGGAUUGGGAAGGACGCACCUUUGGUGUACCAAUUAUUGUGCCCACGGUAAAUACUAGGUAUCCAAGUGCGGAGCGGAUAACCACUGAAAUCAUCUAAGUAAUUAUCCCCCCCCCCCUCCCAAGAUUAGUGCUCUCUUUUUCUGAUUUCCCAAGAGCUUUUGGUUACACAUCUGAUACAUCGACGAGUUCUCUACCCCUGAGGGUAUGGAGUGACUAAUUUUUUUGUAGAAUUCAAUAGAACGUCACGUCGAGACAAGUGAUUUAUCAUUACAAUAUGUGUCAAGUGAAAGUGAAGUGAUGUAUGCAACUGAGGUAUCCUAACAGACCGGUGGACUUUAAC